ACAUUAUUGUUUACCAAAAGUCAUGAUCUGUUUUGCAUACUUUGUUUCAACCCUGGAACAUUUUACAAUUUUUAGAUCUCCAUUUUUUUCUUUUCAAGAUGGCGGCAUCAUGUUUGUGGGGUCGGGGGAAAGAAAAUCCUUAUUUCAUUAAGGAAAAACUCAAUUGACCAAUCAAAAGUGCUGAAACUCAUACAGGUUUUAAAUAGUGUAUGCAUCUUCUGGGUUUAGCCACUGAUAAUGCUAACAAGCCAAAGAGAAACAUACCUUAACAGUUGAAUGUUUAUUUCUUGUGCAAACUGACAUUGGCCAAGCUAUGGGAAAACAGGGCUGAUGGUAUGUGUGUAAUAUGUCGUCCCAGAUUUCUUGUGCAAACUGACAUUGGCCAAGCUAUGGGAUAACAGGGCUGAAGGUAUGUGUGUAAUAUGUCGUCCCAGGUUAGGUUUUGCAGUCCGCGCAGGCUUAUUAGGAACGGUGCUUUCUGCCUGAACUUGAUUUCCUUUAAAGAGACCUUUUCACGUUAUCAUACAUUGACACAAAUAAUUUUUUUUUCAGAUUUACCUUGUUUUGUAGUUUAAUGUUUUUACUAGGAAACUGUAAUACUGAACAUUUACCAUGCUCUAAAAUAUCCAUUAUAUGCAUCUUUUGACAAUUAGAAACCAAAACAUUGCAAAGAUUUACAAACGGGAAACGAUUGUAUAAUUUGGAAAGUUCUAGUGUUAUAAGUAUAUUUUGUGACAUUACUAGGAUUGCUUCUAUUAGGAAUGGAAUACAUGAAGCAUGGAUGGCUGAGUGGUUUCAGCGCUAGACUUUUACUCCAAGGGUCAGUUGUUCAAGCCCGGGUGUAGAUUCCUUUUUUCUUUUUUUAAUUUAAUUUUAUUUUUUAUUCUGAAAUCUUUUAGUUUGGAUGUUUACAUUUAUCAAUUUAAAGCAUUUUAUGACACAUUUUCAAACUUGCAAAUACUGUCGAAAGGUCCCUUAAAGAAAAGAUUUCCUUAAAAAACAGAAAAUUGCAUGAAAGCGGACAGUUUUGCCCAGAUUAGCCUGUGCGGGUUGUGCAGGCUAAUCUGGGACGACACUUUAUGGUCAUGCAUAAAGCCCAGUUUUCCCAGAGCAAGGCUCAUAUACAAUGUGUGUUUUCACUGAUAUUGUGUUGGCUAUUGUUAGGUUGGCUAAGAUUGCAUUGUAUAAUAGACCGGUGUGGACAUGAUAUUAAAAUUAGCAGCAUUUUCUAAUUGAACAUUCCAUGCUUGGUUAUUUAUAAUUUGUAUUGAGUUUCUUAAUAAAUCUUUUGAUUAUAUGAUAUCCUGUCAUGAUUAUGUACUCAUUCUAAAUUCAAAUACAAACAGCCAUUAUCAGCUACAAGCAUUUUCUGUGUGUGUGUCAGAGAACAUGUAUGGGCCAUAAUCCUUGUGUUUGUCAUAGCCCUUUUCCACUCAGAAGCAAAGUGGAAAUCCAUAUUUCAAAGAAAAAACCUGGAAAAUAAUGACCUUAAGGAUGCUUUGUAAAACAUAACGUAAAGUUCAUUAUCUUCAUGGACAAAUCUGGUGAGUUUUUUUUCUGAAGUUUGUUUUAAAAAUUAAAUUUUGGACAUUAUUAUCUUUUACCAUAUUAAUGACAUUCCACCCUGUCUAUAUAAUAAGUUUGUAAAGGACUAUACUCAGCAAUAUCAAACGGGUAAUGAUUUAAUUAUGAUAAACAAACUGUAUUUUAGGAGAUUUCCAUUUGCUGAUAGGGUUCUUUACCGGUAUAUUGAUUACAAGUAUACAGUUCAGAGGUAUGUUUGUUCAAAAUGUAAAUGACCAUUACUUUUUUGAAAAGAUACUUUUUGGGAGUAUUUACACUCAUUACAAUUAUUUAUGUGUAGAUGUAUUGACAUAUUACAAGCAAAUUUGAAAAAAAAAGUUAUAUUUAUAUUUAAUUCUCCGAUCUCCAUGCAGAGUUGUUGUUCCAUGCUGUCGCAUACAAUCGACUUUGCCAUCACAAGAAAAUCCUACCAGAUCUGGAAGGAUUUUGUUUUUGUUUUACUAGUAUGUUAUGAAAAGUAGUUAUGAAAAGUAGUAUCAUUUUGUUUAAUAUUUUGAAAAUAGUAUAUAAGUUUUGGUUCAUAAUAAAACGUAAAAGACCGAAAUUACAUAAAGUAAAAAUAACGGGAAAAUGAUUGUACCAUAUUGCUGGGCUAUCAUCAUGUGGUUGGUUAUAACGGCAGGGAUUUGAUCCAGCUAUGCUGGUUUCAAUCAAAAUUCUGCGCGGAGGUUGUUAAUUCUCAUUACAAGAUACCUUUUUAGUCGCAAAAUAGUUUUUUUCACGGUACAGAUGCUUGCUUGAUAUUUUAGAUUUAACUACACUUAAUAAACAAUGCAUACCUUGAACAACUGUGUUUUUGUAAUUCAUGUUGUCUAUUAUUUGGCAAUUUCAGUGUUUGCUGCCUUACGUCAGGGUAUGAUCAUGUUGAAGUAGGAUUUUGCCAUGCAUGUAUUUCUCAUAUUACUUUGUAUAAAAAUCGCUAUUAUUAAUAUGCAUUGUCAAUAAUGAUAAGACCUUAAAAGUGUUUUCCUACUCAAAUAUAUUUUGCACCUGUCCAUCUAUGAAAUAAUAUUCUGUACUCUUUCUUUAAAUGAACUCAAAAAUAACAGUCAUAAUGUUAUGCUUACUGUUUACUUUCUGCUUUAAUUUGUGCAUAAUUGGUACAUUCAAAAAUAAAUAUUACUUGGAGAGAAUAUAAACAAAAAAAUACAUUACCUGGUAAAAGAUGUUAUUUGACGUAAAACCAGUUGUUAUGCUAUUGUAUUUGUGAACUAGGAUAAAACCUUGUGAAAACACCAAAGAUGCCUUGUACGUCUUAAAUAGUUUUUAGUGGUUAUUGUUUUUGGUAUUGACAUUUGUUUUCAGUUGGUUAUGGAUUUGUUCACAAAUUUUGAACAUUUUCAUUGUGCCACAGAUGAAAUACCUUGAAGUAUAAUGUUAUAAAAGAAUUAUUAAAUAAGAAAUAUAUUUUAAAGUUAAUCAUGUUCAUUGCAUGUGAGUCUGUUAAUUUGAUAAAAAUGAUCAGAUGUUAAAGAGUUAGCACAGCUUUACUAUAAAUAUAUGUAUUUUGAUAUGGAAUGCAUGUUGACAAUUGUGCUGACACGUUACAUGGAUUUUUAAUUUUCACAAUUUCCGUCAUUGUAUGUUUAUAAUAGAUGUAUUAAAGUAUAGAAUGUCUUG